UUGAUUGUUGCGUUCCACCUUCAGACCGUACAAACAGCCGAUGCUUCUUCCAAACGGGACCGUGCACAGGUUGCUCGGGAGCUCGGAAGGACCCCGGAAACGGGGACCCCCCGGCAGGACCGAGAAUAUGAUCCUUCCGCAGGUUCACCUACGGAAA
rnacentral:misc_RNA from 1 species